AGGGAGAGAUCUGUUUGCGCCAAAAAUGCGUCCUUUUGCGCCACAACUUUUUUUCUCUAAUGCUACGUUUGCGCCACCUGUUUAAAAAUCACAUGGUAUCAUUUGCGCCAGAAAUAAAAUAUAAGAUUGCGCCAAUUUAAAGAAGAACAUCCCUUAAACAAAGAAAACAUUUUUCUAUUACAGUUUCCUGAUUUGGAAGGCAAAAGGCAAUCUAAAAGUGGAAUAUAAAUUAAAUGUCCAUUCCUGAAUCCAUGUAUUGUAUACAAUUGCUGGAAAUACUUCGGACAACACUUAAAAAUGUUCCAUCAGUGACUUAAAAUUUUUGAAAUUCUACUGAACAUUUUGGUUGGGCAGGGUACAGUUAUCUUCUCUCUCUGUACAUAGACUGUCUUAUGCACUUCAAGUCAUUUUUCUGUAGAUUGAUCUUAGCUGGUCUUUCGGAUAUAUUUUCUGUAGCUUUUCUUUUGCAUGCUGUUCGUAGUAUUUGACGCUCUAACUUUUGUGGGUCUGUCUCAUGUAUAUGUGCAAGAUUUCCACUCAGACAAAAUGAUACUAAAUAUAUAUUUAUCUUUAAUAUGUACGAUCAAUAUGUGUUCAGGUAAAUUGGCGCAAAUGAGUUCCGAAAACUGGCGCAAUUGAUACAUUUGAAAGAAAAAAAAUUGACGCAAAUGAUACCCCUGAAAAACAGUAAUUGGCGCAAAAGGAGUGUUGCCAUAU
rnacentral:lncRNA from 1 species